AUUGAACGCUGGCGGCAGGCCUAACACAUGCAAGUCGAGCGAGCGGCGGACGGGUGAGUAAUGUCUGGGAAACUGCCUGAUGGAGGGGGAUAACUACUGGAAAAGGUAGCUAAUACCGCAUACCAUCAGAUUUGCCCAGAUGGGAUUAGCUAGACGGUGGGGUAACGGCUCACCCAGGCGACGAUCCCUAGCUGUUCUGGGAGGAUGACCAGCCACACGGGAACUGAGACACGGUCCAGACUCCUACGGUAGGCAGCAGUGGGGAAUAUUGCACAAUGGGCGCAAGCCUGAUGCAGCCAUGCCGCGUGUGUGAAGAGGGCCUUCGGGUUGUAAAGCACUUUCAGCGGGGAGGCGUUACCCGCAGAAGAAGCACCGGCUAACUCCGUGCCAGCCGCCGCGGUAAUUC
rnacentral:rRNA from 1 species